UACGGGGGGGGCAAGCGUUGUUCGGAAUUACUGGGCGUAAAGGGCUCGUAGGCGGCCAACUAAGUCGGACGUGAAAUCCCUCGGCUUAACCGGGGAACUGCGUCCGAUACUGGAUGGCUUGAGUUUGGGAGAGGGAUGCGGAAUUCCAGGUGUAGCGGUGAAAUGCGUAGAUAUCGAGAGGAACACCUGCGGCGAAGGCGGGUUGCUGGGCUGACACUGACGCUGAUGCGCGAAAGCCAGGGGAGCGAACGGG
rnacentral:rRNA from 1 species